GAACUGGAGCUUUAGGUAUAAAAUCUUACGCUUCCUUGAGAAACCCUAGGGUGGCUUCCGCCGAGAAGCAUUAUGGUGUAUCGAUCAUCAAUUUGUUCUCUUCUUCCACAGCGACGCGACUUCGUGAAGUCUCUAUACAUAAUUUAUUUUCAAAUUAAGGCAGCCGGUUUAAUCGAAUUUUCGGCAAUUAUGCUCUACAACCCAUCAAUGGUGGAUCCAUGCAAGACUAUGGAUCUGGUACCAGGCGCCACAUGAUUGCGAGGGCAAAAAGAAUUCUAAAGCACGGAUUGAUGCUUUGAUAUUUUUCUUUAUAUAUUUAUAUUUUUUUUCUUGCUUUUUUGUUUGUUUUGUUUUUGCGUUGUUCUGAAAAAUCUUUGAUUGAAGCAAAGCAAGGGGAUGAUCUAAUUUGAUCUGAAUAUGAUGCUGAUAGCAAUUCAUCAUGUCCUUCAAAGCUCUCUGAUUGCUUUGCAUGCAUAAUUUUUAGUGACUUGAAUAUCUAAUCUAAUUCAUUAUUAUUGUUUGAAUGAAUAAUCCGGAUUCAAGCAAAAUAAAGUUAAAUUAUAGGGGUUUCAAAUUUCUUUAUUCUCUUUGCAUUCUAUUUCACGCAUGAUUCCAUGCAGUUGCACUAUAGGUUCGAUAGCCAUUGUUUUAUUAGUCUACUGUAUAUUUGGGCAAUGAGUUUUAUCAUGCAUAUUCAGCUUCUAUGAUAAAUUGCAUAUUCUUUAUCAAUGUAUUGUUGGUUUAUGAUAGAUAAAGAAGGUUGUUUUAGCAACUAUAAAUCUGAAGUGAGGUUGCCUUGUUUAAGUCAAGAAAAACAUUUUUGCACUUUUUUUUUAAAUAUGGUUCACCACAGCAGGACACCUUACAAAAUAUCAAGCUUCAGAUCACAUUUUAGUUUUCAUCUCCAUCUUUAGAGGGACAUCUAUAUCUACAUCAUCGAGCAUGACCUCGAACUAGAGGGAUAUAAUUAUGUAUUAUAAGUAAUAUUAUUACUUAACUCAUGCAUUCUAGACCUGCAUUGUAUGCUUCAUAUAAUGAUAAUCAUGUUGUUAUAUCAAAGUACUUCAUCAACAAGAGCAAGUUUUAGCUUGUCUUUUGAAGGAAUUACAUAUUGAACACAAAAGAGCAAGCAUUGAUCAGUUUGGAUGUGAUAGGUUCAGACUUAGAAGACCUCCUUGAAAUGUUGUUGAAGUUCAUUACUUGGCUCUCAUGAGAAUAUUAAUUGUAAAAGAUGAAUCUUAUAAUUUGUCAAUAAUGAAAAUAAUUAUUUUGGUCAAUAUGUAUGAUCAUUGUAUUAUUAUCAGUGUUAAUAUUAAUCUUAUGAUAAACUUCUUGACUACUUGAUCUUCUAAAUUUGAGUACUAUGAUGAUUAGUCCAGAUGUUCUUCUUGGAUAGAUGAACUGAGUAUGAUGACUUUCUCUCUUCUUAAAUCUCUUUCAUAUAAAAACAGUCAGCAUCAGCAGCCUCUCACUGUUAUUUGUAACUCUGCAUCUUAUUUGAAAAAACCAAACUCCAUUUUUUUUUUGUCAAACGAAUUCUAAUGCAUGGAUUUAUGCCCUGCUUUCUUUUGUCAAAUACUCGCAAAUGUUAUAUCUUACUUUUUUUUUUUUGAAUUUUUGUUCGUUUAGUUUUUCUAUUGCUCUGAAAAGUGUUGUUGAAGCAAAGCAAAGGGAUGAUACAAUUUGAUCUGAAUAUGAUGCUGACAGUAAUUCAUCAUAUCCUUCAAAGCUCUCUGAUUGCUUUGCAUACACUUUUUUCCUUAGAUUAAGGCUUCAUUUGGGAUGGCUUUUUAAUUUUUUAAUUAAAAAUUUGCUUUAAGAAGCAGCAAAAAAGACGUCUUAAAUGAAGCCUAAAUUGUUUGUUGAUUCAAGUACCGAUUGGCAUUUUUGUUUGCAUGAACAGCAGGGCUCAAGCAAAACAAAGCACUAUGAUGAAUAAUUGAAUGGAAAAAUUCUAUUAUGUAUAAUGGUUUUCAAAUUUCUUUGAUUUCUUUGCAUUUCAUGCAAGAUUCAAAGCAUUUGCACUUUCGGUUCUAAAGCAAUUAUUUCAUUUGUACUAUUAUAUGUUCUGGUAAUGAGGUUUUUCAUGCAGAUUCAGUUUUUAUAAUAAAUUGCAAGUUCUUUAUCUAUGAAUUGUUAGUUGAUGUUAUAUAAAGAAGAUUUGUCUUAGGAAACAUGAACCUAUAGUAACGUUGCCUUGUAAGUAGUGGAAACUUUUUUUGUACUGUUUGAUUAGCAAAAUGGUUCAUACGGUGCUACAAUGCAAAGAAUAUAGUGUGUUAUAGUUUA